ACUUCAUAAACGCAGUUUGCAAUGCAACACUGCAAACAGAUGCGAUACCGAUGCAAAGCAACACUGCAUGGUAACACUGAUUUGUCAAAUAAUGCAAUGACAUUUAUUAACGUUUGUGAACGCAAUAUUGCUUUGUCGUGUUUCUUUGUAUGGUAAAAAUGAAUCUUGACCAAUUGUGCACUUUUGUUUUUGAAAACGCCCUAGAAUUUGGCGAAAAAAGAAAUUCAAGUAACGUGGUGUUCAUUAAAAAAAUAUUAAAUAAGCGAAAGCGCCGGCGUGUUUUUUUAACCGGUUGUGGCCCAAAAAGGAAAAUUCCAAAAACGUCCAACUUCUGCAAAACGAUAAAAUGUAUGCAGGAUGACGUUUUUUAUGCUCAUUUUCGUAUGAAAAAGAGCACAUUCAAGAAUUUGCAGACCAUGUUAAUGCCGUGGUGGACUCCGCGCACAACUGGACGAAUUGGAAUUUCUUUGGAAAAGGUCUUGCAAAUUGCAAUUUGGAAGCUGAGCAAUAAUUGUUCUUUUAGAGAUGUCAGCGAUCGUUUUGGAGUAGCUGUUGGUCUCGCAUAUAAAGUCUUUGUAAAAAUAAUAAAGAUGAUCUGCCGUUUAAAGAAAGACGUCAUCAAAUUUCCAAGAAGUGAAGCUGAACAAAAGCAAACCAGCGAAGCAUUUUCAACUCUACGUUUCAAUCCUUUUCCUUUUGUACUCGGGUGCGUCGAUGGUACACAUAUUCCCAUUUCGCAGCCAAUCAGAGAUGAAAUCAGUUACCGGAAUCGAAAGGGGAC